GGAAACCUCAGCUCAAAGCUGAUGGACAGCUGACAAUCAAAAUCUUCUCACAAUUUUGUGCGGCUGCCUGGAGGAGUUGGAGAGGGACAGGUGUAGCUCAUCAAGCACUCGGCAGGGCAGUAUAAAGAGGAGGGUUUGCCGGCAUUUCAUUGCCUGAGCAUUUCGCCCUUGCGGUGCUGAUUCCUCGACCGGACUUGAGCUAACCAGAAACACGGAAACCCUGUCGGAACACUCCCCUGAAUCCUGGAUCAUACCAGCUGGCAAACCAUCCAGAGAGACUUCCCAGCUGAGCGAACCUGUCCGCCCUCCCAGCGCCAUCCGCUCGGCGCCGCCUUACCAUCCGCUCUGGAUGAAGGCUGACUGCGUUCACACUCACUCCAGGUUCUGCGGACCUCCCCGCUCUCACCUGUAAGCCGCACAUCAUUCUCUGGCACGUUUCUGAGGUCCAGAGGCUUUUUCCCGCAACCAGUGGGUUCCUGUCCUGAUCUCCCGUUUCUCCUCCUCCUGGGCUUGUAGUUAAUAGAUCUAACCAUAAGAACUGUAUUUUGUCUCUGGGUGUCUCUGCAUGUAGGUCAGGUCGGCAGUAAACAUUAUGACAAAAUCCUAGCAUUAACAAAGUCUUUAGGCAUUAAAAAAAUGCAAAGCCUGUUCAUGCAGCUUUUGAUUUAUUAAAAGCACCAUUCUGUCAACUGAAACCCAUCUAAAGUUAAAUUAAAUGCCCUUAAAUUAUGUUCUGGGUCAGUUGGAUGAAUGAAUUUGAAUGGGAAAGCUAUUGUGUAUAAAAUGCAUGUAAAAUAACUUACAAAGUUUUUAAGUUUGCAAUAAAAAAAUAUUAAUGGUGA